rnacentral:lncRNA from 1 species
AGCUGUUAAAAAAAAUGUUAUUUUUCCUCCGACUGUACGGACUAAGGAGGAAACGGAGUAAACAGAGAGCUUCGCCGGAAUCAUAAGGGGGAAAAUGGGGGUGAUUUUGAGCGCGUUUGAUGUAUGAGUAAGUGAUUUGAAUUUUAGACCUCAAUUUUUUUUUGAGUGAUUCAACAUGUUUUGUAAGUGAUUCAGAUUAAUUUGUUAAGUUGUGGUAAAAUUUGGAUUAACAUGAGAAAAAUCCAAUCUCCCUAGUGUUUGUUUUAGGCUCGUUUGUGCUUCACAUUAUGCGAUUAUAUCCUUAAUUAGGAGUUUGUGGAAAAGGAAUAGUGGAGAUGGAUUCAGAAAGUAAUUAAGUAAACGAGCUGAUUGGAUUCCAAUCAAUGGAAAAAAAAAAAAAACUGAAUAUGAUGAAAAUUGGAGAUAGAAAUAUUAGGGUUUUUUUUUUUUUUUAAUUUUGGGACUAAGAUAAGAGUGGCAAUUGAACUUCAAUUUUAGAUUAGGAUAGAUUAUUGAACAAUGAUUGCUAAAAAUGCUGUGAAAUAAAUCCAAGUGUAAAUGAGAUGAUUUGAUAUGCUAAGCACUAAAAUUAUUAAUUACAUUUAUAUCUGGACAGCGUUGUUAGAAUGCCUUGGGCUUUUGCUUGGUGAAAAAAGGAUAGAGAAGGGUAAGAACAGAAAAAGUGUUUAAUCCGAUGAAAGAAGUUAUGGGAUCUAACCAUUAGAUUCAAAGUUUUUGCAUCCAUACUCAGUUUCUAUCCUUCCUACCAAGCAAAGCUUUGAAGGUUGCAAUUGAGUCGUGUUAUUACUUACCAAGUGUUUAGAAUUCAGGAGGCAACACAAAUACCAAAAAAGAACUGAAUCAUUCUUACCUUUCUACUAUUGUGCUUGGAAUGGAAGAGCCUAUUCGAGUACUUUAUAUAAAAUAUUUGUUUGUUGAUUGGCUCGUGUGUGACUGCUGACUCCAAUAUUGAUGCAAAAACCUGGAUAAUUUAUUGCUUUGACAUAAAGAUUUCUGCCACUCAAGUUGAGGGAGGUGGGGACACAAACACUUUGCUAGUUUAUUCUUAAUGGUAUUAUGUUCUCCUAACCAUAUGCAUAAAUACCCGAUAACAUAUUUGAUUAAAGCUAAAAGCAUUUGUAGCGUUUUGCCUUUUAAAAAGUCUAAUGUAUGAGCACAAACUCUGUUGCUUUUCCUUCAUACAGACUUCUUAAUUGAAUCAAUGAAUCUUUUGUCUGCAAUGUCGUUGCUUGAGAUGUAAUCAAGAAAAUCUCUGAAACUGAACUCGUUGUAGGAGACAGGAUGUUGCUCAUCCACAAGCUCUGGUGCUGGUCCUAUUUUCUUGUUUAUAGGUAGACUGUGAAGACUAGCUAUGGACAACCGCUUGUUCUCCGCGCUUAGAGUCACUUGAUGAACAACACUCUUGUACUGUCCAUUGCUCAUCACUUCUAUUUGAUCUCCCAAUUGGACUAGUAAGGCGCCUUCAACAAAUGGAACAGAGAGCCAUUUCUUCUUGUUGUCCUGUAGCUGUAGCCCUGGGCCACUCUGAAGCAGGACAGUUAGCGUUCCGUAAUCUGAGUGUGGUGGCAUACCUAAUGUGAGGUCUGGUUCAGGACAAGCUGGAUAGCAAUUAAUGGCCAUUAGUUGAUUGCCUUCUUCAAUUUCCUUCUGUAAGUUGCCAAAGUUCAAUCCUAAAGUUUCUAAGAUGGCUUCCAUCAGUUGCUUGUGUAGCACUUGUACUGCCUUUGCGUAGUUUCCCAUUUUAUCCCUUAGGGAAAAAAUAGUUUAAAGUCAAUGCAUCACAAUAGUUUGAGAAUGAUUGGAAAUGCAUAAAAAACGGAAACCAUGUGUUGCUUCAACAGAAAAGAAAAAAAGACAAAAGGAGAAGCUAUAAUUUGUCUUUUCUAUUUCCUCUUUUGUUGUUUCUUCCUUCUGGAAGAUUUGGAAGGCAUGCAUUAUAGUUCUUAGACCUAGAAGCUGCCAAUUUUAGCCACAUUUAAGACUUAUGCUUAUGAAGUACCAAUCAGAAUUGCUCCUCUUGUGUUGUUUCCAAUUUUGCCCUUAAGAUGGAAGGUAAUUGCUUCUAACAAAUAAUUUAAGAGAUCCAAGAUAAUGAUGGCUUGCUUACUUGUAACUUGGAGGAUUUGAAGGCCAUAGAUGGAUCCAAUCAGAAAUAGGGUGGGAGUAAUGCUUGAUGAAGUCUCUCCAAUAGUGAACUUUAUCGCUUGCAUGAUUCAAACUAGUACCAUACCUUACGGGGUUAUGCACAUUAUCUGAUAAUAGAGACAUUUUCUCCUCGAGAGACAAGUUGAAAAACUCUGUUGCAGCAGCAAGGGCGUCAUGGAUGACGGGGAGAGGGAUGCCAUGGUUAACCACCUAAAAAAAAAAUGUGCGUGCUUUUAUGUGGACAAUAUUAUAUUAGCAUGCAUGAAUUAUGAUGUCUUGCUAUUAUAUGUAAUAUAAAUUGUAUUGAAGCUUUUUCAGUAAGCAAGCAUCCCCCAUAUAUAUGUUGUGCUUUGUUGUCUGGGGUGUCAAGUAGAACAUAUAUGGUAUAACUGUAAAUUUUCAAUUUAAACUCAUACACCCACAUACAUAUUGUGUGAUUCAGUUGGAAUGCUAAACCGAUAAACACACAAAAUAACAUUCAUAACAUCUAUCUAAUAUAUGCUGAAAAAAAUACAGUUACACUAAUGUAGACUUGGGGCUACAGUAAACUAAACUUGCUAACCCUGAAUGAUACCUGAAAGAACCCAAGUUCCUUACAGGCGCCUUGUAUAGUAUCAAGUGUUAGAGACCUUUGAGAAGCGUGGUGUAAGGUGGAAAGGUCUAUAAUGGGAAGGGUUGUGGUGAGGUCAAGUGUAAGGUUCGGACGUUGCGAUGGAGGAAGAACAUAGCGUUGAGGCACAUGAGGUACCCUCAUCUUGGUAAGUGUCAUUACACUAGUAAAUAGGUUAUCCGAGCAUUCUCCCUCUCCUUCCAUACUUUGAAAUAUCUUUGCUAGUAAAUAGCGAAUGAUCAGUUUUAGCAGCCUGUUCUUCCUAUUUAUAUGCUAGACGUAACUAUCAGGUUAUGUACAGUUGCAAUGAAUAUUGAUAUGGAGCUGUGAUCUUAAACAUUAUAUGUUGCGUGUUCAUAAAUGCGCAGGAAAGAAGAAUAUAGCAAGAGAAGCCACAGAAGAACUUUAAGCAUGAGGGCGUGAAAAGGACAAAGGUGAACGCGGGACCCACGCGAAAACGCUAUGAUGUUAAACCUGAAUGGGUACCGAAAACAAAGUCGCUGUACAUUUGGGGGCUGUGACACCCACACACGCAAUUAUGGAGCUUGAAGAAGUUUUUAGUAUAUCACCAUAUUUAUAAACGUCAGACAUGAGGCAUUUGUUCAUGUGGAAACUAGUGGAAGAAUUAAAAUAUUUAUAUAUUUUUUAACUUAUUCUGGUAUGAUAUACUGAUGUAGUUAACAUUGAAUUUGUAUCAAUUCUAUGCUGCUGCG